GAAUGAAGAACGUAGCGAAAUGCGAUAAGUAAUGUGAAUUGCAGAAUUCAGUGAAUCAUCGAAUCUUUGAACGCACAUUGCGCCCGCCAGUAUUCUGGUGGGCAUGCCUGUUCGAGCGUCAUUACAACCCUCAGGCCCCCGGGCCUGGCGUUGGGGAUCGGCGGAAGCCCCCUGCGGGCACAACGCCGCCCCCCAAAUACAGUGGCGGUCCCGCCGCAGCUUCCAUUGCGUAGUAGCUAACACCUCGCAACUGGAGAGCGGCGCGGCCACGCCGUAAAACACCCAACUUCUGAAUGUUGACCUCGAAUCAGGUAGGAAUACCCGCUGAACUUAAGCAUAUCAAUAAGCGGAGGA
rnacentral:misc_RNA from 1 species